UACGUAGGUGGCAAGUGUUGUCCGGAAUUAUUGGGCGUAAAGCGCGCGCAGGCGGUCCUUUAAGUCUGAUGUGAAAGCCCACGGCUCAACCGUGGAGGGUCAUUGGAAACUGGGGGACUUGAGUGCAGGAGAGAAGAGUGGAAUUCCACGUGUAGCGGUGAAAUGCGUAGAGAUGUGGAGGAACACCAGUGGCGAAGGCGACUCUUUGGCCUGUAACUGACGCUGAGGCGCGAAAGCGUGGCGAGCAAACAGGAUUAGA
rnacentral:rRNA from 1 species